AUUGAACGCUGGCGGCAUGCCUUACACAUGCAAGUCGAACGGCAGCACGGGAGCAAUCCUGGUGGCGAGUGGCGAACGGGUGAGUAAUAUAUCGGAACGUGCCCAGUAGUGGGGGAUAACUGCUCGAAAGAGCGGCUAAUACCGCAUACGACCUGAGGGUGAAAGGGGGGGAUCGCAAGACCUCUCGCUAUUGGAGCGGCCGAUAUCAGAUUAGCUAGUUGGUGGGGUAAAGGCCUACCAAGGCAACGGUCUGUAGUUGGUCUGAGAGGACGACCAGCCACACUGGGACUGAGACACGGCCCAGACUCCUACGGGAGGCAGCAGUGGGGAAUUUUGGACAAUGGGCGCAAGCCUGAUCCAGCAAUGCCGCGUGCAGGAAGAAGGCCUUCGGGUUGUAAACUGCUUUUGUCAGGGAAGAAAUCCUCUAGGUUAAUACCCUUGGGGGGAUGACGGUACCUGAAGAAUAAGCACCGGCUAACUACGUGCCAGCCGCCGCCGUAAUAC
rnacentral:rRNA from 1 species